AUGGAGGUACUUAUGGCAGAACGGGCCAAUCUGGUCUUUCACAAUAAAGUCAUAGAUGGAACUGCCGUUAAACGACUUAUUAGCAGAUUAAUAGAUCACUUCGGAAUGGCAUAUACAUCACAUAUCCUGGAUCAAGUAAAGACUCUGGGGUUCCAACAAGCCACUGCUACAUCCAUUUCAUUAGGAAUUGAUGAUCUUUUAACAAUACCUUCUAAGGGAUGGUUAGUCCAAGAUGCAGAACAACAAAGUUUGGUUUUGGAAAAACACCAUCAUUAUGGAAAUGUACACGCAGUAGAAAAAUUACGACAAUCCAUUGAGAUAUGGUAUGCUACAAGUGAAUAUUUGCGACAAGAAAUGAAUCCUAAUUUUAGGAUGACUGACCCUUUUAAUCCAGUACAUAUAAUGUCUUUUUCGGGAGCUAGAGGAAAUGCAUCUCAAGUACAUCAAUUAGUAGGUAUGAGAGGAUUAAUGUCGGAUCCACAAGGAUAAAUGAUUGAUUUACCCAUUCAAAGCAAUUUACGUGAAGGACUGUCUUUAACAGAAUAUAUCAUUUCUUGCUACGGAGCCCGCAAAGGAGUUGUAGAUACUGCUGUACGAACAUCAGAUGUUGGAUAUCUUACACGCAGACUUGUUGAAGUAGUUCAACACAUUGUUGUACAUAGAACAGAUUGUGGUACCAUCCGAGGUAUUUCUGUGAGUCCUCGAAAUGGGAUGAUGCCGGAAAGAAUUUUUAUCCAAACAUUAAUUGGUCGUGUAUUAGCAGAUGAUAUAUAUAUAUGGGCCCACGAUGCAUUGCCGUUAGAAAUCAAGAUAUUGGGAUUGGACUUGUCAAUCGAUUCAUCACCUUUCAAACACAAACAAUAUCUAUUCGAACCCCCUUUACUUGUAGGAGUACAUCUUGGAUCUGCCGAUUAUGUUAUGGCCGAAGUCCUACUCAUGGCGACCUGGUCGAAUUGGGAGAAGCUGUAGGUAUUAUUGCGGGUCAAUCUAUUGGAGAACCGGGCACUCAACUAACAUUAAGAACUUUUCAUACCGGCGGAGUAUUCACAGGAGGUACUGCAGAACAUAUAAGAGCCCCUUCUAAUGGAAAAAUAAGAUUCAAUGAGGAUUUGGUUCAUCCUACACGUACACGUCAUGGGCAUCCCGCUUUUCUAUGUUAGAUAGACUUGUAUGUAACUAUUGAGAGUGAAGAUAUUAUACACAACGUGACUAUUCCACCAAAGAGUUUUCUUUUAGUCCAAAAUGAUCAAUAUGUACAAUCAGAACAAGUUAUUGCUGAGAUUCGCGCGGGAACAUAUACUUUUAAUUUUAAAGAAAGGGUUCGAAAACAUAUUUAUUCUGACUCAGAGGGAGAAAUGCACUGGAGUACCGAUGUAUACCAUGCACCGGAAUUUACAUACAGUAAUGUGCAUCUCUUACCAAAAACAAGUCAUUUAUGGAUAUUAUCAGGAGGUUCGCGCCGCUCUAGUGUAGUCCCUUUUUCGCUUCAAAAGGAUCAAGAUAAAAUUAACGUUAAUUCUCUUUCUGUUGAAAAAAGAUCUAUUUCUAGUCUUUCAGGAGACAAUGAUCAAGUAAGACAAAAAUUCUUUAGUUCAGAUCUUUUUGGAAAAAAGAAAAAAAGAAAGCGGGAUUCCUGAUUAUUCAGAACUUAAUCGAAUCAUAUGUACGGGUCAUUUUAAUCUCAUAUAUCCUGCUAUUCUCUACGAAAAUUAUGAUUUAUUGGCAAAGAGAUGAAGAAAUAGAUUCAUCAUCCCAUUCCAAUCGAUUCAAGAACGAGAAAAAGAGCUAAUGCCUCCUGCUGGUAUUUCGAUUGAAAUACCCGUAAACGGUAUUUUUCGCAAAAAUAGUAUUCUUGCUUAUUUUGAUGAUCCUCAAUACAGAAGAAAAAAUUCAGGAAUUACUAAAUAUGGGACUAUAGGAGUGCACUCAAUCCUCAAAAAAGAGGAUUUGAUUGAGUAUCGAGAAGUCAAAGAAUUUGAGCCAAAAUACCAAAUGAAAAUAGAUCGAUUUUUUUUCAUUCCCGAGGAAGUACAUAUUUUGCCCGAAUCUUCUUCCAUAAUGGUACAGAACAAUAGUCUCAUUGGAGUAGAUACACGAAUCACUUUAAAUAUAAGAAGCCGAGCGGGCGGAUUGGUCCGAGUGGAGAGAAAAAAAAAAGGAUUGAACUUAAAAUCUUUUCUGGAGAUAUCCAUUUUCCUGGAAAUAUGGAUAAGAUAUCCCGACACAGUGGUAUCUUUAUACCGCUUAGAACGGCAAAAAAAAAUGCUAAGGAAUCAAAAAAAAAGUUGCAAGAUUGGAUCUAUGUCCAAUGGAUCACACCUAACAAGAAAAAGUAUUUUGUUUUGGCUCGACCUGUAAUCAUAUAUGAAAUAGCAGACGGUAUAAAUUUCGUAACACUUUUCUCCCAGCAUCUUUUGCAUGAAAGGGAUAAUCUGGAACUUAGAGUUGUCAAUUAUAUCCUUUAUGGAAAUGGCAAACCCAUUCGGGGAAUUUAUGGCACAAAUAUUCAAUUAGUUCGGACUUGUUUAUUGUUGAAUUGGGACCAAGACAAAAAAAGUUCUUCUGUCGAAGAAGCUCACGCUUCUUUUGUUGAAGUAAAUACAAAUGGUCUAAUUCGAGAUUUCCUGCGAAUCGAUUUAGUAAAAUCCUAUAUUUCGUAUAUCAGAAAAAGGAAAGAUCCGUCAGGUUCAGGAUUGAUCUUUGAUGAGAGGUCAGAUCCCAACAAUAUCAAUCCAUUUUAUUCUAUUUAUUCCAAGGCAAGGAUUCAACAAUCACUUAGUCAAAAUCAAGUAACUAUUCGUACGUUGUUGAAUAGGAAUAAGGACUCUCAAUCUUUGAUAAUUUUGUCAUUAUCUAAUUGUUUUCAAAUGGGUCCAUUCAACGAUGCAAAAUAUUACAAUGGAAUAAAAAAAGAAUCAAUGAAAAGAGAUACUCUAAUUCCAAUUAGGAAUUCGUUGGGGCCUUUAGGAUUAAGAAGAGCCUCUAAAAGUAAGAAUUUUGAUUCAUUUUACCAUUUAAUAACUUAUAAUCAGAUCUCGGUAACUAAAUAUUUACAACUUGACAAUUUAAAACAGACUUUUCAAGUACUUAAAUAUUAUUUAAUAGAUGAAAAUGGUAGAAUUUAUAAUCCCGAUCCAUGCAGUAACACCAUUUUGAAUCCAUUCAAUUUGAAUUGGCAUUUUCUCCAUCAUCAUUUUCUCCAUCAUAAUUAUUGUGAAGAACCAUCUACAAUAAUUAGCCUUGGGCAGUUUAUUUGUGAAAAUGUAUGUAUAGCGAAAAACGGACCGCACCUAAAAUCGGGUCAAGUUCUGAUUGUUCAAAUUGACUUUGUAGUAAUAAGAUCAGCUAAACCUUAUUUGGCCACUCUGGGAGCAACUGUUCAUGGUCAUUAUGGAGAAAUCCUUUACGAAGGAGAUACGUUAGUUACAUUUAUGUAUGAAAAGUCGAGAUCUGGAGAUAUAACGCAAGGUCUUCCAAAAGUGGAACAAGUGUUAGAAGUUCGUUCGAUUGAUUCAAUAUCGAUGAAUCUAGAAAAGAGGAUUGAGGGUUGGAACGAGCGCAUAGCAAAAAUUCUUGGAAUUCCUUGGGAAUUCUUGAUUGGUGUUGAGCUAACUAUAGUACAAAGUCAUAUCUCUUUGGUUAAUAAGAUCCAAAAAGUUUAUCGAUCUCAGGGGGUGCAGAUUCAUAAUCGGCAUAUAGAGAUUAUUGUGCGUCAAAUAACAUCAAAAGGGUUGGUUUCAAAAGAUAGAAUGUCUAAUGUUUUUUCACCCGGAGAACUAAUUGAAUGGUUGCGGGCGGAACGAACAGGGCGUGCUUUGGAAGAAGCGAUCUGUUACCGAGCCAUCUUAUUGGGAAUAACGAAAGCAUCUCUAAAUACUCAAAGUUUCAUAUCCGAAGCGAGUUUUCAAGAAACUGCUAGAGUUUUAGCAAAAGCCGCUCUCCAGGGUCGCAUCGAUUGGUUGAAAGGUUUGAAAGAGAACGUUGUUCUCGGGGGGAUGGUACCCGUUGGUACUGGAUUCAAAGGAUUAGUGCAACGUUCAAGGCAACCUAACAACAUUCCUUUGGAAACAAAAAAGAAUGAUUUAUUCGAGGUGAAAAUGAGAGAUAUGUUGUUCUACCACUAAGAAUUAUUUGAUUUUUUCAUUUCAAAGAAUUUAUACGAUACACCUAAACAAUCAUUGCGAGGAUUUAAUGAUUCCUAAGAGCAGAUUCUUAACUAUUUGCGGUCAUUUUUUUUAUUUGGUAAUAGUAAUAAAGAUAAUAACAAAUAGAAUAGAAAUAAAUUAAUGGCUUGAAUCAUGUAUCAAUGGCUAAUAUCUAUUAGGGGUAGAAAAGAAAGUUCCAUCGGAACAAUUAUUUAUUUCUAUUUCAGGGUACCUCGUCUCUUUUUUUUUUUUUU